UCUAGAAUGAAAGGAUAUACGAGUAGUUACUGUAUCUGAUAUUUAUUGCAAAAUUAAUUUUCAAGUGCAAAUACUUGUAAAUAAUUGUUAGACGAGAAGACCCUAGAAAUUUAUAUUAAUGUUUCGUUGGGGCAACGUAGUAGAAAAACCUACAGUUAAAGACAAGAAAAAAAUUUGAGAGAAAAAAUUACUCUAGGGAUAACAGCAUAAUUUAUAAAAGUUUGUGACCUCGAUGUUGGAUUUGGGAACUAUAGUUCAGAAGACCCUUAGUACCGCUCUGUUCGAGCAUAAUACCUAACGUGAU
rnacentral:rRNA from 1 species